CAAUAGCGUAUAUUAAAGCUGUUGCGGUUAAAAAGCUCGUAGUUGGAUUUCUGUCAAGGACAACUGGUCCGCCCCUCGGGUGAGCACAUAGUUUGGUCUUGGCAUCUUGUUGGAAACUGUUGCUGCACUUGGUUGUGUGGCGCAGUGUCCAGCACUUUCACUUUGAGGAAAUUGGAGUGUUUCAAGCAGGCACAUGCCUUUGGACACAGUAGCAUGGAAUAAUUAGAUUGGGCUUUUGCUCCAACUUGUCGGUUUCUGGAGCUGAGGUGAGAAUUAAUGGGGAUUGUUGGGGGCAUCCGAAUUUAGCCGUCAGAGGUGAAAUUCUUGGAUCUGCUAAAGACGGACAACUGCGAAAGCGUUUGCCCAGGAUGUUUUCACUGA
rnacentral:rRNA from 1 species